CCACCAUAUCACGUUGAAACACAGGUUCCUGUACGAUCACUGAAGUUAAGCAACGUUGAGCCUUGUCAAUACCUAGAUGGGUGACUGCUUGGAAAU